rnacentral:rRNA from 1 species
GGGUUGUGAGGUUAAGCGACUAAGCGUACACGGUGGAUGCCCUGGCAGUCAGAGGCGAUGAAGGACGUGCUAAUCUGCGAUAAGCGUCGGUAAGGUGAUAUGAACCGUUAUAACCGGCGAUUUCCGAAUGGGGAAACCCAGUGUGUUUCGACACACUAUCAUUAACUGAAUCCAUAGGUUAAUGAGGCGAACCGGGGGAACUGAAACAUCUAAGUACCCCGAGGAAAAGAAAUCAACCGAGAUUCCCCCAGUAGCGGCGAGCGAACGGGGAGGAGCCCAGAGCCUGAAUCAGUGUGUGUGUUAGUGGAAGCGUCUGGAAAGGCGCGCGAUACAGGGUGACAGCCCCGUACACAAAAAUGCACAUGCUGUGAGCUCGAUGAGUAGGGCGGGACACGUGGUAUCCUGUCUGAAUAUGGGGGGACCAUCCUCCAAGGCUAAAUACUCCUGACUGACCGAUAGUGAACCAGUACCGUGAGGGAAAGGCGAAAAGAACCCCGGCGAGGGGAGUGAAAAAGAACCUGAAACCGUGUACGUACAAGCAGUGGGAGCACAGAGCAAUCUGUGUGACUGCGUACCUUUUGUAUAAUGGGUCAGCGACUUAUAUUCUGUAGCAAGGUUAACCGAAUAGGGGAGCCGAAGGGAAACCGAGUCUUAACUGGGCGUUAAGUUGCAGGGUAUAGACCCGAAACCCGGUGAUCUAGCCAUGGGCAGGUUGAAGGUUGGGUAACACUAACUGGAGGACCGAACCGACUAAUGUUGAAAAAUUAGCGGAUGACUUGUGGCUGGGGGUGAAAGGCCAAUCAAACCGGGAGAUAGCUGGUUCUCCCCGAAAGCUAUUUAGGUAGCGCCUCGUGAAUUCAUCUCCGGGGGUAGAGCACUGUUUCGGCAAGGGGGUCAUCCCGACUUACCAACCCGAUGCAAACUGCGAAUACCGGAGAAUGUUAUCACGGGAGACACACGGCGGGUGCUAACGUCCGUCGUGAAGAGGGAAACAACCCAGACCGCCAGCUAAGGUCCCAAAGUCAUGGUUAAGUGGGAAACGAUGUGGGAAGGCCCAGACAGCCAGGAUGUUGGCUUAGAAGCAGCCAUCAUUUAAAGAAAGCGUAAUAGCUCACUGGUCGAGUCGGCCUGCGCGGAAGAUGUAACGGGGCUAAACCAUGCACCGAAGCU